rfam:Ancylostoma duodenale strain Zhejiang A_duodenale-1.0_Cont250209.1, whole genome shotgun sequence.
AUCUCUGGCUCCUUUGCAUUUAACCGAAAAAAUCUUUCGCCUUUUACUAAAGAUUUCCGUGCAAAGGUGCUUUUUAUGAGUAUUCAACAAUUUUUAGAAUCCCCUUGAAAGAGUGGGAU